CACAAAAUUUCUGAAAACACAUAUCAGAUUUUGCAGAACCUAAAAGAAUACUCAAAAAAUUCUUCUCUUUUAAAAUUUUGGGCUCUUUGGUUGCAAGAUGAUUUGAGUUGGAGUGCUAUGAUACUGCUAUUUAUUUGGCUGCUUAGUUUCAUUGGUUUCUGCUGCCUGUUUUUGCUGCUAUUAAGCUUACAAAAGCUUGGUUUUCUGACCUUUAUUUGGUCAUUUCUCUGCUGUAUUUUUCAGUUACAAGGGUGUUGUUGUUGGUCACAUGGCUAUAUUCUGCAGAUUUGGCCGCCAGUUGGCCAAAUCAGCAAGAUGUAGGCCAAAGAGUGGGAUUCUGUUGCUGAUAGCAUGCUGGAAAUGAUGGUUUCUUAUGGUGAAUCAAGCUUUUGAUGGAUAAAUCAUAUCCAAAAGGGGCAAGUAUUCACUAGCUAUCAAUUGCGUGGAAAUUGUAAUAGAAUAGUUGAUAUUUUUCUCUUGUAUGAUCAAUUUCUGGUGUAGUAGAUCAAGAGUAAUUCUCACAUUGUUUCUUUUUUUUUAAAAGAUAUUCUGUAAUAGCUGCCAGUUUAGUGUCAAGAUGCUAUAAACGUAACAUGAAUUUUUGAAAAUCAGUUGAGCUUAUGCGAA